AACGAACGCUGGCGGCGUGCUUAACACAUGCAAGUCGAACGUGAAAGGCUUCGGCCGAGUAAAGUGGCGCACGGGUGAGUAACGCGUGGGUAAUCUGCCCUUGGGGCGGGGGAUAACCUCUCGAAAGGGGGGCUAAUACCGCAUGAGGACCACGGCUUUUCGGGGCUGUGGGAAAAGGUGGGUCGCAAGGCCUGCCACCUGAGGAUGAGCCCGCGUACCAUUAGGUUUGUUGGUGGGGUAAUGGCCGUACCAAGCCGAAGAUGGUUAGCUGGUCUGAGAGGACGAUCAGCCACACUGGGACGUGAGACACGGCCCAGA
rnacentral:rRNA from 1 species